rnacentral:rRNA from 1 species
UACGAAGGUGGCAAGCGUUGUUCGGAUUUACUGGGCGUACAGGGAGCGUAGGCGGUUGGGUAAGCCCUCCGUGAAAUCUCCGGGCCUAACCCGGAAAGUGCGGAGGGGACUGCUCGGCUAGAGGAUGGGAGAGGAGCGCGGAAUUCCCGGUGUAGCGGUGAAAUGCGUAGAGAUCGGGAGGAAGGCCGGUGGCGAGGGCGGCGCUCUGGAACAUUUCUGACGCUGAGGCUCGAAAGCGUGGGGAGCAAACAGG